ACGCACGCUGGCGGCGUGCUUAGCACAUGCAAGUCGAACGGAAAGGCCCUGCUUUUGUGGGGUGCUCGAGUGGCGAACGGGUGAGUAACACGUGAGUAACCUGCCCUUGACUUUGGGAUAACUUCAGGAAACUGGGGCUAAUACCGGAUAGGAGCUCCUGCUGCAUGGUGGGGGUUGGAAAGUUUCGGCGGUUGGGGAUGGACUCGCGGCUUAUCAGCUUGUUGGUGGGGUAGUGGCUUACCAAGGCUUUGACGGGUAGCCGGCCUGAGAGGGUGACCGGCCACAUUGGGACUGAGAUACGGCCCAGACUCCUACGGGAGGCAGCAGUGGGGAAUAUUGCACAAUGGGCGGAAGCCUGAUGCAGCAACGCCGCGUGCGGGAUGACGGCCUUCGGGUUGUAAACCGCUUUCGCCUGUGACGAAGCGUGAGUGACGGUAAUGGGUAAAGAAGCACCGGCUAACUACGUG
rnacentral:rRNA from 1 species